AGGGUCUCAUCACUUCGUUGCAAUCCUCCCGACCUGGCGUCUCAAAGUUUUGGGAUGAUGGAUGGGCUCGAGCCACACUGUGCCUGGCCUCCGGGGACUGAUUCGCGACCACAACUGACGUGCUAAUAUUUUCUUCUUUUUUCUCAUUCUUCUUUUUGAGACGGAGCCUCGCUCUGUGCCAGGCGAAGGGAGGCGCAUCGCUUCGGAAGCGGCAGCCGAGCCGCCUUCUAGAGCCCCAUUCAAAGGCAGACAGCCCUGUUUCCCUUCUGGAGUCGGAGGUGAUGGCUCCCAUGGCCUCGGGCUCCACUCCAUUCGGCAGGCGCCGCCCCACAAGAAGGCUGGCUGUGGCUGUGGCUGGGGGUGGGGGGACGCGGUGGGGCUGGCUGGAAGAGUCUCCUUUUCUGCUUCGUCCUUCGGUAGCUGGAAUGACGGGCGCGCACCACCACGCCCCCCGGCUACUUUUCCUAUUUUCAGGAGGGAUGGGGUUUCGCCAUGUUGGUCAGGCUGGCCUCGAACUCCUGACCUCAAGUGAUCCGCCCUCUUGGGCCUCCCAAAGUGCUGGGAUGACGGGCGUGAGCCGCCAGCACUUCACCCUUGAAGAGCAAGCGCGCGGGCGGGGAGCGGGGCGUGGGCCGCCGGGCCUCGGCCUGCUUUUUCUUUUGUUACUAGAGAAGAAAAUGGCGUGGGCCCUCUCGCUAUCACGGUAUACACUCUGCUAUUCUGUGGGAUACGCCGUGCGUGUGAGUGCGUGCGUGGGUACGUCCGUGCGUGCGUGCGUGCGUGCGUGCGUACGUACCUACGCACGUACGUAGGUGCGUGUGUUUCUGCGCGUAUUGCCGAGUCACGGUGCUUCCUUCCCCCUCAGGGUCUCCGCUCCAUUAGUUGUGGGGGAAAUGCCUGGGAGGGUGCCGGGCUGACACUUGCAUAUGUUGUCAUCGGGCGUCACCUAGCGGUCACCGGUUCUCCGAAGUCUAGGCGGCGUGACGGGACGCUCUGGCCGCCCGCCCACCGUCAGGAGAGAUUGUGGCUUCUCU
rnacentral:lncRNA from 1 species